rnacentral:lncRNA from 10 species
CGGCUGGGAGGAAUCGGUCCUCCACUGUCCCAGCCGGCCCCGCGCCGGCGUGUCGCCUCCCGUCCCCCUAGCAGCACGCUGCGUGGCUGCUCGCUGGCUAUUUAGGACGGAAGCUCGGUUGGUGUUUCUCCAGAAGUUUCCCCCUUGGGCGGUGGUGGAGGUGGUAACCGUGAUAGUAGCAGCUCCGGCGGCAGCAACAGCGACUACGAGGGAUGGCGGCGGCUGCAGCAGGAACUGCAACAUCCCAGAGGUUUUUCCAGAGCUUCUCGGAUGCCCUAAUCGACGAGGACCCCCAGGCGGCGUUAGAGGAGCUGACUAAGGCUUUGGAACAGAAACCAGAUGAUGCACAGUAUUAUUGUCAAAGAGCUUAUUGUCACAUUCUUCUUGGGAAUUACUGUGGGAAAAACUGAAUACCUUGAGUAAAAUUACAUAGAAAAUGUUAAUGAGACAAGGAGGUGAAUUUUGUGACACAGCUGUAUUCAUUGAAGAGCUUUAAGAAGGAAGCUAAAUGUUAAGCCAAAAGGAAGUUGCUGUUGCUGAUGCAAAGAAGUCUCUAGAACUCAAUCCAAAUAAUUCCACUGCUAUGCUGAGAAAAGGAAUAUGUGAAUACCAUGAAAAAAACUAUGCUGCUGCCCUAGAAACUUUUACAGAAGGACAAAAAUUAGAUAGUGCAGAUGCUAAUUUCAGUGUCUGGAUUAAAAGGUGUCAAGAAGCUCAGAAUGGCUCAGAAUCUGAGGUGUGGACUCAUCAGUCAAAAAUCAAGUAUGACUGGUAU